GCCAGGUGUGGUGGUGCACGCCUGUAGUCCCAGCUACUUCGGAGGCUGAGGCGGGAGAAUCACCUGAGCCCGGGAAGUCAAGGCUGCAGUGAACUGUGAUUGUGCCACUGCACUCCAGCCUGAGUGACACAGUGAGACCCUGUCUCAA
rnacentral:SRP_RNA from 2 species